CAAGGUAAACGCAUAACCGGACAACAACGUCGGGAUCAGGGAAACCGGUGAAAAUCCGGUGCGGGCCCGCCACUGUGAGUGGGGACAAAAUCCGCAAUUAUGCCACUGGCGAAAGCUGGGAAGGCGCGGAGAGUAGGAUGAUCCACGAGCCAGGAGACCUCCCCGACGUUUAAGGUUCGCC
rnacentral:ncRNA from 19 species